rnacentral:rRNA from 1 species
AUUGAACGCUGGCGGCAGGCCUAACACAUGCAAGUCGAACGGUAGCACAGAGAGCUUGCUCUCGGGUGACGAGUGGCGGACGGGUGAGUAACGUCUGGGAAACUGCCCGAUGGAGGGGGAUAACUACUGGAAACGGUAGCUAAUACCGCAUAACGUCGCAAGACCAAAGUGGGGGACCUUCGGGCCUCACACCAUCGGAUGUGCCCAGAUGGGAUUAGCUAGUAGGUGGGGUAAUGGCUCACCUAGGCGACGAUCCCUAGCUGGUCUGAGAGGAUGACCAGCCACACUGGAACUGAGACACGGUCCAGACUCCUACGGGAGGCAGCAGUGGGGAAUAUUGCACAAUGGGCGCAAGCCUGAUGCAGCCAUGCCGCGUGUAUGAAGAAGGCCUUCGGGUUGUAAAGUACUUUCAGCGGGGAGGAAGGCGGUGAAGUUAAUAACUUCACCGAUUGACGUUACCCGCAGGAGAAGCACCGGCUAACUCCGUGCCAGCAGCCGCCGCAG